AAUUGAUUGAUGGUGCUUGCACCUGAUUGAUUUUGGUCGCCAACGAGUGGCGGACGGGUGAGUAACACGUAGGUAACCUGCCCAGAAGCGGGGGACAACAUUUGGAAACAGAUGCUAAUACCGCAUAACAACGUUGUUCGCAUGAACAACGCUUAAAAGAUGGCUUCUCGCUAUCACUUCUGGAUGGACCUGCGGUGCAUUAGCUUGUUGGUGGGGUAAUGGCCUACCAAGGCGAUGAUGCAUAGCCGAGUUGAGAGACUGAUCGGCCACAAUGGGACUGAGACACGGCCCAUACUCCUACGGGAGGCAGCAGUAGGGAAUCUUCCACAAUGG
rnacentral:rRNA from 2 species